rnacentral:rRNA from 1 species
CAGUAGCCGCGGUAAUACGGAGGGUGCAAGCGUUAAUCGGAAUUACUGGGCGUAAAGCGUGCGUAGGCGGUUCGUUAAGUCUGUUGUGAAAGCCCCGGGCUCAACCUGGGAAUGGCAAUGGAUACUGGCGAGCUAGAGUGUGUCAGAGGAUGGUGGAAUUCCCGGUGUAGCGGUGAAAUGCGUAGAGAUCGGGAGGAACAUCAGUGGCGAAGGCGGCCAUCUGGGACAACACUGACGCUGAGGCACGAAAGCGUGGGGAGCAAACAGGAUUAGAUACCCCGGUAGUCCCUGUCUCUUAUAC